rnacentral:rRNA from 25 species
CAGUGAUAAACUGGAGGAAGGUGGGGAUGACGUCAAGUCAUCAUGGCCCUUACGACCAGGGCUACACACGUGCUACAAUGGCGCAUACAAAGAGAAGCGACCUCGCGAGAGCAAGCGGACCUCAUAAAGUGCGUCGUAGUCCGGAUUGGAGUCUGCAACUCGACUCCAUGAAGUCGGAAUCGCUAGUAAUCGUGGAUCAGAAUGCCACGGUGAAUACGUUCCCGGGCCUUGUACACACCGCCCGUCACACCAUGGGAGUGGGUUGCAAAAGAAGUAGGUAGCUUAACCUUCGGGAGGGCGCUUACCACUUUGUGAUUCAUGACUGGGGUGAAGUCGUAACAAGGUAACCGUAGGGGAACCUGCGGUUGGAUCACCUCCUUA